rnacentral:rRNA from 1 species
GACAUCCAGAGAACUUGGCAGAGAUGCCUCGGUGCCUUCGGGAACUCUGAGACAGGUGCUGCAUGGCUGUCGUCAGCUCGUGUUGUGAAAUGUUGGGUUAACGUCCGCAACGAGCGCAACCCCUAUCCUUUGUUGCCAGCGAUUCGGUCGGGAACUCAAAGGAGACUGCCGGUGAUAAACCGGAGGAAGGUGGGGAUGACGUCAAGUCAUCAUGGCCCUUACGAGUAGGGCUACACACGUGCUACAAUGGCGUAUACAAAGAGAAGCGACCUCGCGAGAGCAAGCGGACCUCAUAAAGUACGUCGUAGUCCGGAUUGGAGUCUGCAACUCGACUCCAUGAAGUCGGAAUCGCUAGUAAUCGUAGAUCAGAAUGCUACGGUGAAUACGUUCCCGGGCCUUGUACACACCGCCCGUCACACCAUGGGAGUGGGUUGCAAAAGAAGUAGAUAGCUUAACCUUCGGGAGGGCGUUUACCACUUUGUGAUUCAUGACUGGGGUGAAGUCGUAACAAGGUAGGCGUAGCGAG